rnacentral:rRNA from 1 species
AGUGAACGCUGGCGGCGUGCCUAAUACAUGCAAGUCGAACGGAAUUUAAAAGAGCUUGCUCUUUUAAAUUUAGUGGCGCACGGGUGAGUAAUAUAUAGCUAAUCUGCCCCUUGCUGGAGGACAACAGUUAGAAAUGACUGCUAAUACUCCAUACUCCUUUUUACCAUAAGAUAAAUCGGGAAAGAAUUUCGGCAAGGGAUGAGACUAUAUCGUAUCAGCUAGUCGGUGGGGUAACGGCCUACCGAGGCUAUGACGCGUAACUGGUCUGAGAGGAUGAUCAGUCACAUUGGAACUGAGACACGGUCCAAACUCCUACGGGAGGCAGCAGUAGGGAAUAUUGCGCAAUGGGGGAAACCCUGACGCAGCAACGCCGCGUGGAGGAUGACACUUUUCGGAGCGUAAACUCCUUUUGUUAGGGAGGAAUAA